AUUGAACGCUGGCGGCAGGCCUAACACAUGCAAGUCGAACGAGUGGCGGACGGGUGAGUAAUGUCUGGGAAACUGCCUGAUGGAGGGGGAUAACUACUGGAAACGGUGGCUAAUACCGCAUACAAUAAGAUGUGCCCAGAUGGGAUUAGCUAGUUGGUGGGGUAACGGCUCACCAAGGCGUCGAUCCAUAGCUGGUCGGAGAGGAUGACCGGCCACACGGGAACUGGGACACUGUCCAACCUCCUACGGGAGGCAGCAGUGGGGAAUAUUGCACAAUUGGCAGAAGCCUGAUGCAGCCAUGCGGCGUGUAUGAAGAAGGCCUUCGGUUUGUAAAGUACUUACAGCGGGGAGGCGUUACCCGCAGAAUAAGCACCGGCUAACUCCGUGCCAGCAGCCGCGGUAAUUC
rnacentral:rRNA from 1 species